UCCCCGUUAUCCUGGGCAGUCCUUCCAGAGUUCCCGGCAUGACCCGUUGGCAACUGGAAGCAGGGGUUGCGCUCGUUGCGGGACUUAACCCAACACCUCACGGCACGAGCUGACGACAGCCGUGCAGCACCUGUGCACUGGCCCCGAAGGGCUGCCGUAUUUCUACGACAUUCCAGUGCAUGUCAAGCCUUGGUAAGGUUCUUCGCGUCGCGUCGAAUUAAACCACAUGCUCCGCUGCUUGUGCGGGUCCCCGUCAAUUCCUUUGAGUUUUAGCCUUGCGGCCGUACUCCCCAGGCGGGGAACUUAAUGCGUUAGCUGCGGCACCGACGACGUGGAAUGUCGCCAACACCUAGUUCCCACCGUUUACGGCGUGGACUAC
rnacentral:misc_RNA from 1 species